rnacentral:tRNA from 2 species
CGGGGCGUAGCGUAGUCCGGUUUAGCGCACCAGAAUGGGGUUCUGGGGGUCCCCGGUUCAAAUCCGGGCGCCCCGACCA